GUGAUUGCUUUGGCGCACAUAUACUAAAAAUUGGAAUGAUGCAGAGAAGAUUCAGCGGUGGUGCCUGUGCAGAGGAUGACAUGCAAAUUUUGAAGAUACACAACACGGUGUG
rnacentral:snRNA from 1 species